rnacentral:rRNA from 1 species
CCUACGGGUGGCAGCAGUCGAGAAUCAUUCACAAUGGGGGAAACCCUGAUGGUGCGACGCCGCGUGGGGGAAUGAAGGUCUUCGGAUUGUAAACCCCUGUCAUGUGGGAGCAAAUUAAAAAGAUAGUACCACAAGAGGAAGAGACGGCUAACUCUGUGCCAGCAGCCGCGGUAAUACAGAGGUCUCAAGCGUUGUUCGGAAUCACUGGGCGUAAAGCGUGCGUAGGCGGUUUCGUAAGUCGUGUGUGAAAGGCGCGGGCUCAACCCGCGGAAGGCACAUGAUACUGGGAGACUAGAGUAAGGGAGGGGGAAGCGGAAUUCUCGGUGUAGCAGUGAAAUGCGUAGAUAUCGAGAGGAACACUCGUGGCGAAGGCGGGUUCCUGGACAUUAACUGACGCUGAGGCACGAAGGCCAGGGGAGCGAAAGGGAUUAGAUACCCUAGUAGUC